UACGUAGGGGGCAAGCGUUGUUCGGAAUCACUGGGCGUAAAGCGCACGUAGGCGGAUUUGUAAGUCAGGGGUGAAAUCCCGGGGCUCAACCUCGGAACUGCCUUUGAUACUGCGAAUCUCGAGUCCGAUAGAGGUGGGUGGAAUUCCUAGUGUAGAGGUGAAAUUCGUAGAUAUUAGGAAGAACACCGGUGGCGAAGGCGGCUCACUGGCCCGAUACUGACGCUGAGGUGCGAAAGCGUGGGGAGCAAACAGG
rnacentral:rRNA from 1 species